AUCAACUUUCGAUGGUAGGAUAGAGGCCUACCAUGGUGUUAACGGGUAACGGGGUGUUAGGGCACGACACCGGAGAGGGAGCCUGAGAAACGGCUACCACAUCCAAGGAUGGCAGCAGGCGCGCAAAUUACCCAAUCCCGACACGGGGAGGUAGUGACAAUAAAUAACAAUACGGGGUUCUUUCGGAUUUCGUAAUUGGAAUGAGUACAAUUUAAAUCUCUUAACGAGGAACAAUUGGAGGGCAAGUCUGGUGCCAGCAGCCGCGGUAAUUCCAGCUCCAAUAGCGUAUAUUAAAGUUGCUGCAGUUAAAAAGCUCGUAGUUGAAUUUUGGGAUCAAUAUGUUGGUCGUGCCUUGGUGCGUACUAGUUUAUUGAUUUCUCCCUUCUGACGAACUAUGAUGCCAUUAAUUUGGUGUCAUGGGGAAUCAGGACUGUUACUUUGAAAAAAUUAGAGUGUUUAAAGCAGGCUCACGCUUGAAUACAUUAGCAUGGAAUAAUAAAAUAGGACGUUUGAUUCUAUUUUGUUGGUUUCUAGGAUCGACGUAAUGAUUAAUAGGGAUAGUUGGGGGCAUUAGUAUUCAAUUGUCAGAGGUGAAAUUCUUGGAUUUAUUGAAGACUAACUACUGCGAAAGCAUUUGCCAAGGAUGUUUUCAUUAAUCAAGACGAAAGUUAGGGAUCGAAGACGAUCAGAUACCGUCGUAGUCUUAACCUAAAACUAUGCGACUAGGGAUCGGAUGAGGUAAUUUUUAAUGACUCAUCGGGGCCUACGGAAACCAAAGGUUUGGGUUC
rnacentral:rRNA from 1 species